AAGGUGGUUAGCCGUAUAAAAUUGACAAUAAUCUAUCUUUGCAUUAAUCCUUCUGUGCUAUCAACAUUUAGCAGAUUAACAAGCAUUAUACAAAUCUCACCCUGAAGCUAACACUUUUCACCGUCAUCACAGUUUCAAAGCAAGUUUGAGGCUCUGACAAUCCGCCAACAUAGUCACUUAUCAUUUCAUUUCAUAAUCAUUGAAUAAGAUCUAAAUUAUUGGGCGUGGCCAAUACGCUGUGAAGCCAUUUGCAUUGUUGCUUGCACCCAACAGCAGACCCCUAGGUUUUUCUCCUGCUUUAUAAGAAACAGCUCAAUAAUGGAGAUAUUUCGUUUUGGUGUUUUCGUUACAGUGCUCUGUGCCUAUUUGGUUGCUUCUAACGCUGGAGAUGUACUACGGUGCCAACUGUUCACUACCAGUGAACUAAGAAUCUGUUGACAUUGUAAUAACUCCUGGUGAAGUAAGAGCUGGAGGAAAAGAAAAAGUGAAGAUCACAUGUAUAGACAAAAAGUACGCCACUAAAGUAUAUGCCAUAACUAUUUCCAAAGAUGGUAGAGAUAUUGUUACCAUUGAACCUCCAAAGAAAGCAAGCUGGGUGGAUAAUGAUAUGUUAAGAAGAUCUUACCUAAUCAACACCCACAUCAGUGCUGGUAAUUCAAUUGCUACCCUAUAUGUGACCAUCCCUCGUGGCUGGGACACUGGCAUAUACAGGUGUACUGUUCAGAAGACACCACGUCCAGAAACUUCCAGACCAAUGGCAUUGAAAGUCAACGGAUCCAGUCUACCUCGAAUGGAUAUGAUGUUGGUACUUUUAGUUGCUGCAAAUAUGGUAUAUUCUGUGAUGAAAAGUUAAAUAUUUUUCUUUCAACAUCAUUAACAAGACUGGUUAGCUCCAGGGGAUCUAAACAAUGAAAUUAAAACACUCCAACACACAUGCAAAUGUACACAGAAUACAAAUAAAAUCCAUUGACAAACUAUUAAAUGUUCCUGACAGCAAAACCUAAUCAUCAGUAGGUUGAUAGUAUUUUUACAACAUAAUGCUAUAUUGUUCAGCUGGGAUUGUAGAUUGGAAUACCAGAGAAGAAUUUGAAUGAAAGAAAAGAGU